GCCUUCGUGGAUCAUGGUAGAUCAUCGCCGCCCGGUGUUACCGUGGCUUUGAGGUACAAGAGGAGACGGAGGUUCGAUUCCUCCUGGAGGCA